rnacentral:rRNA from 1 species
AUACGGAGGGUGCAAGCGUUAAUCGGAAUUACAGGGCGUAAAGCGCGCGUAGGCGGUUUAGUAAGUCGGAUGUGAAAGCCCAGGGCUCAACCUUGGAAUUGCAUUCGAUACUGCUUAACUAGAGUAUGGUAGAGGGAAGUGGAAUUUCCGGUGUAGCGGUGAAAUGCGUAGAUAUCGGAAGGAACACCAGUGGCGAAGGCGACUUCCUGGGCCAAUACUGACGCUGAGGUGCGAAAGCGUGGGGAGCAAACAGGAUUAGAAACCCCAGUAGUCC